UUCUGGUUGAUCCUGCCGAAGGCUACUGCUAUUGGAGUUCGAUUAAGCCAUGCGAGUCUAAGGGGUACUUGUACCCCUGGCAUAAUGCUCAGUAACACGUGGAUAAUCUACCCUUAGGUGGGGCAUAAACCCGGGAAACUGGGGCUAAUACCCCAUAGAUACAGAAGGCUGGAAUGCCUCUGUAUUCAAAGCUCCGGCGCCUAAGGAUGAGUCUGCGACCUAUCAGGUAGUAGUCAGGGUCACGACCUGACUAGCCAACGACGGGUACGGGGUGUGAGAGCACUUGCCCGGAGAUGGUUUCUGAGACACGAAACCAGGCCCUACGGGGCGCAGCAGGCGCGAAAACUUCGCAAUGCGGGAAACCGUGACGAGGGAACUCCAAGUGUCUAUGCAAUGCAUAGACUGUUUUUCAGCCUAAAUAGCUGUUAGAGUAAGGGGUGGGUAAGACCGGUGCCAGCCGCCGCGGUAACACCGGCACCCCGAGUGGUAGCCACUAUUAUUGGGCCUAAAGCGUUCGUAGCCGGUUUAGUAAAUUCUUGGGUAAAUCGUACAGCUUAACUGUGCGGAUUCCGGGGACACUACUAGACUUGAGACCGGGAGAGAUUAGAGGUACUUGCAGGGGAGCGGUGAAAUGUUGUAAUCCUGCAGGGA
rnacentral:rRNA from 1 species